CCAUUUUUAACAGCCCCAAAGAGAAAUAACCAUGGAUUCUGAUGCAAACCAUCUCGUCUCAUUUGCAAGAACCGAGGUGCGGUGGUCAAGUAUCUCCACUUCUUGCAUACAAGGCGGGCAUUCAUGAGACUGGUCAAUGGGAGUCUUACCAAACACAUUUCCAAUAUGUCAUCUGGAAGAAAGAUGUGCAAGCUGCUAUUUUCUAUUGAAUCUUCAAGUUCUAAAUCUUUUCUGAUAUUUUUCUUCCAAAACUUUUCCCUAACCCCGUAUGAGAAGCAAUCAACUCCAGGUUCAUCAGUGCCACAUAUUGGUUUGUACCCCUUUCCUCCUUCACUGGCACUUGAUGACCUUC
rnacentral:misc_RNA from 1 species